rnacentral:rRNA from 1 species
AUACGUAGGGUCCAAGCGUUGUCCGGAAUUACUGGGUAUAAAGGGUGCGCAGGCGGAUUUGUGCGUCUGGGGUUAAAGACCACGGCUUAACUGUGGGAAUGCCCUAGAUACGGCAAAUCUUGAGUAUGAGAGAGGAAGAUGGAAUUCCUGGUGUAGCGGUGAAAUGCGUAGAUAUCAGGAGGAACACCGGUGGCGAAGGCGGUCUUCUGGCUCAUUACUGACGCUUAGGCACGAAAGCGCGGGUAGCAAACAGGAUUAGAUACCCUGGUAGUCCGCGCCGUAAACGAUGUAUGCUUGGUGUUAGAUUCGUUUUAGAAUCUAGUGCCGGAGUAAAUACGUUAAGCAUACCACCUGGGAAGUACGAUCGCAAGGUUGAA